UUGGUUGCAGGGUUUGUUUGUUCGAGUCUUUGUUUGUAGACCGGGUACAUGAAGAGAUGUGGUCUGAGUAUCCAAAGUGGGGGUGGGGUGCAGCCCUGUAUGCAUCACAUAUGUUGCUGUAAACAUUGUCCAGUGUGUUUUUAUCACGGGUGGGAAUGUCCACAUGUUGGUGAUAUUUGGGAUGAAUAGUCCGUAAUUUACACUUGUUCCAAACAAGAGUCAUGUUGUUCCAGAGAGGACCUGUACACCAGUAUGUCAUCCAUGAAGACCUCUACCCACUCCAGCCCUUGAAGCAUCUCCUGCAUUUUCCUCUGGAAGAUCGCUGUAGCGCCUGAGAUCCAAAAGGGAAGCCUCCUGAAACAAAAUCUCCCAAACGGCGUGAUAAAGGUGGUAAGUCUGCAGCUAUCUGGAUGGAGAGGGAUCUGCCAGAAUCUGCUGGCUGCAUCUAAGAAGGAGAAAACUUUUGCACCGCUCAGUUUAACAAUAAUCUCAUCUGCAGUAGGUAGCACGAAAUGUUCUCAUUUUACUGCUUCAUUUAGUCUUGCCAUUUUUCUUCAGAAUGGGAACCAUCGGCGCACACCAUUCCAUUGGUUGUGUCACCUGCUCUAUGGUGCCAUUUUCCUCCAUGAACUCCUCUUUCACCUUUUGCAGUAUUGGUAUUGGAACACACCUCGCAGCGUGAGUCUUUUAACUGAAUUUUGACAGGGCGGUUUUGUGUGGGCCAUGCUCACCAAACGAAUCAUAGUGUUUGGAGGCCAUUUUGUUCACUCUCUUCCACUCUCCUUACAAGAUUCAUGUCAGACGAUAGAGUCUGACUCAGCAGGUUAUUGACAUUGUAUCCACAGACCACAUAGGCAGAAAUAUACAGUGCCUCGGAACUGACCCAGGCAGGCUAGCUUUCCCCCAGGGCUGUCCAGUGUAACAUUGGCUAGCUCUAGUGCUUUUGCUGGGACUAGUUUGCUGAAAGUCUCUUCUGCCACAAUGUUUAUGUCAGCCCCCGUAUCUAUUUUGAAUUUUACAGGGGUGGGUCACCCUGAACAGAAGCUGCAUCAUCCACUGCUCUUCUAGUUAAUUUAUAUUGCAAACUGAACCCAGAAAGUAUGAAGCUUGGUCAAAAUAUUCUGUGACUUCUCUCACUGACCUGUUA
ensembl:lncRNA